UGAGGAAUAUUGGUCAAUGGACGGAAGUCUGAACCAGCCAAGUAGCGUGCAGGAUGACGGCCCUAUGGGUUGUAAACUGCUUUUGUAUGGGGAUAAAGUUAGGGACGUGUCCCUAUUUGCAGGUACCAUAUGAAUAAGGACCGGCUACUUCCGUGCCAGCAGCCGCGGUAAUACGGAAGGUUCAGGCGUUAUCCGGAUUUAUUGGGUUUAAAGGGAGCGUAGGCUGGAGAUUAAGUGUGUUGUGAAAUGUAGACGCUCAACGUCUGACUUGCAGCGCAUACUGGUUUCCUUGAGUACGCACAACGUUGGCGGAAUUCGUCGUGUAGCGGUGAAAUGCUUAGAUAUGACGAAGAACUCCGAUUGCGAAGGCAGCUGACGGGAGCGCAACUGACGCUUAAGCUUGAAGGUGCGGGUAUCAAACAGGAUUAGAUACCCUGGUAGUCCGCACAGUAACGAUGGAUGCCCGCUGUUGGUACCUGGUAUCAGCGGCUAAGCGAAAGCAUUAAGCAUCCCACCUGGGGAGUACGCCGGCAACGGUG
rnacentral:rRNA from 1 species